UACAAAGGGGGCUAGCGUUGCUCGGAUUUACUGGGCGUAAAGGGCGCGUAGGCGGACAGUUAAGUUGGGGGUGAAAGCCCGGGGCUCAACCUCGGAACUGCCUUCAAUACUGGCUGUCUUGAGUGUGAGAGAGGUGAGUGGAACUGCGAGUGUAGAGGUGAAAUUCGUAGAUAUUCGCAAGAACACCAGUGGCGAAGGCGGCUCACUGGCCCGGUACUGACGCUGAGGCACGAAAGCGUGGGGAGCAAACAGG
rnacentral:rRNA from 1 species